AAAAAACAUUGAAAAGCGGAUUUUUCUCUAUCUUUAAUCUCUCGUAGUACUAAUGUUAAAGCGGAUUUUUUGGCACGAAAAGUUCGUACCCAACCGCUUCAUAUUAUAUUUGUAAACAACAUUCCUCAGGAUUGGCUCGUUUGAGUCCUAAUUAAUUUUCGGAUGACAAAAAAAAAAAAAACAUUGAAAAAGAAAUUCCCCCAUAUUUUUGUUGUUGUAUAUA
rnacentral:sRNA from 1 species